UACGAAGGGGGGCUAGCGUUGCUCGGAUUCAUUGGGCGUAAAGGGUGCGUAGGCGGCGCGGUAAGUCGGGUGUGAAAAUCUCGGGGCUUAACUCCGAAACUGCAUUCGAUACUGCCGUGCUUGAGGACUGGAGAGGAGACUGGAAUUUACGGUGUAGCGGUGAAAUGCGUAGAUAUCGUAAGGAAGACCAGUGGCGAAGGCGGGUCUCUGGACAGUUCCUGACGCUGAGGCACGAAGGCCAGGGGAGCAAACGGG
rnacentral:rRNA from 1 species